rnacentral:rRNA from 1 species
AUACGGAGGGUGCAAGCGUUGUCCGGAUUUAUUGGGUUUAAAGGGUGUGUAGGCGGUGUAUUAAGUCAGUGGUGAAAGCCUGCGGCUCAACCGUAGAACUGCCAUUGAUACUGACACACUUGAGUUUGGUUGAGGUAGGCGGAAUUUAUGGUGUAGCGGUGAAAUGCGUAGAUACCAUAAAGAACACCGAUAGCGAAGGCAGCUUACUAAGCCGAAACUGACGCUGAGGCACGAAAGCGUGGGGAGCGAACAGGAUUAGAAACCCUAGUAGUCC